ACAGUGACACAGGUGACACAGGUGACAGGUGACACGCGGGUGGUCGGUGGCCACGCCUGCGUCCCGCACUCGCAGCCCUGGCAGGUGGCCGUGCUGGACAUGUACAAGCUCUACUGCGGGGGAGUGCUGGUGGCACCGCGCUGGGUGGUGACCGCGGCGCACUGCACCACACCAGGGGUGACCACGGUGGCGCUGGGCAAGCACCGGCUGUACGCGCGCGAGGC